rnacentral:rRNA from 1 species
AUACGGAGGAUCCGAGCGUUAUCCGGAUUUAUUGGGUUUAAAGGGUGCGCAGGCGGCCAUUUAAGUCAGCGGUUAAAUCGUGGGGCUCAACCCCAUUCUGCCGUUGAUACUGGGUGGCUUGAUUGCGGUCGAGGUUGGCGGAAUUCGUUGUGUAGCGGUGAAAUGCAUAGAUAUGACGAAGAACACCGAUUGCGUAAGCAGCUGACCAGACCGCAAAUGACGCUCAUGCACGAAAGUGCGGGGAUCGAACAGGAUUAGAUACCCUGGUAGUCCGCACAGUAAACGAUGAAUACUUGUUUUCGGCGAUAUAAUGUCGGAGGCAAAGCGAAAGCGAUAAGUAUUCCACCUGGGGAGUACGCCGGCAACGGUGAAACUCAAAUGAAUUGGCGGGG